AUACGUAGGUGACAAGCGUUAUCCGGAUUUACUGGGCGUAAAGGGCGUGUAGGCGGUCUUGCAAGUCAGAAGUGAAAUUCCUGAGCUCAACUCGGGCGCUGCUUCUGAAACUGCAGGACUUGAGUGCUGGAGGGGAUAGCGGAAUUCCUAGUGGAGCGGUAAAAUGCGCAGAGAUUAGGAAGAACACCGGUGGCGAAGGCGGAUCCCGGAACCGUAACAGACACGGGGGCGCGAAAGCUAGGGGAACAAACAGGAGUAGAUACCCUGGUAGUCCUAGCCCUAAACGAUGUACACUGGUUGUGACCGGAGCACGCCGUGCGUGCCGGAGCUAACACAUUAAGUUAACCGCCUGGGGAGUACGGUCGCAAGGCUGAAACUCAAAUGAAUUGACGG
rnacentral:rRNA from 1 species